CUAGUACACAAGGCUUUUGUUGGUGCGAUGCAGUUUAUAUUGAUGGUGCGGUUCACUCAAACACCGCACCUUUACAUCUUGCUUUACAAAUUUCACCAACUUUAAAUCUUCCAUUUACAUUUUCCCCCCUUUUGUUGCCCUGUUCCCGCUUGUUUCCAUUUACGUUUUCCCUCCCUCAUGAAUUUCUCACCCUCACAAACCCUAAUCGAACCCCAACCCCCUCUAUUACAUCCAUCUGGUUCCCUUUAGCACCUCUCACUACGGAUACCUUCCAGUGCACCAUCGUUGCCCUCUAUUGCACCGUCGUUUCCCUUUAGUUCAGCGCAUCUCUACUGUCCGUUGUGUCCAGUUGUCCACUAAGUUCAUAUGAGUUGAGUUGGAAAUGGUGAAGAUUCAUGUCCUUGCAAAGGAUAAAAGUUGGAACUGUUGAAUGCGCUUCAGGUUAUAUUUGUGUUGUAGGAGCAAAGUUUUGAGAGGGUAAAUGUUAACAUAAGCAAAACCAAAUCCAUUAGUUAUUGAUUUGAUUAGAGUAUUCUGCCCUUCAAUUUGAGGUAAUUAUUGGUUUAAAAAUCAAGUCAGGUAUUUUUAAAUCGGGUUUUCUUUGUCUAACUGAGACCGAGAUCGGGGUUAUAUGAAACAUGGGACCGAAGAGCACCAAAUGCAAUCCUAUUCUGUUUGCGAGUCAAGUAAGGUCUAACAGGUAUAUGAAUUAAAUCCUGGUAAUGUCUCUUCAAUUAACCGGGUUUGCGAGUCAAGUAAGGUCUAACAGAGAUAAACAAACCUUAUGUCUUUAAUAACAACUUUUAGGAAAUCCUUUUUUUUUGCAGAAAUAUGAAGCACAAGGCGGGUCUGAGUUUUUCUUUGUCAUCAACAUACAGGUCCUGGGGCUACCGCAUAUAUUGUAAAAGGGGCUUUUAUCAUUUUACUUGAUGAAUGAGAAAAUAUAUUGUAUUUGCCUUCUAAAGGCUUUUAAUUGAACUGAUCGUGGCUUUUUGUUGAAGAAAAGGACUUCAUGCAUGGCUUCAAGUUACGGGAAGAAGAUGUGAAACUUCCGCAA